rnacentral:rRNA from 1 species
UAGGGAAUUUUCCGCAAUGGGCGAAAGCUUGACGGAGCAAUCUCGCGUGAGGGAUGACGGCCUAUGGGUUGUAAACCUCUUUUUUCAGGGAGGAAUAAAUGACGUGUACCUGAAGAAUAAGCAUCGGCUAACUCCGUGCCAGCAGCCGCGGUAAGACGGAGGAUGCAAGUGUUAUCCGGAAUCACUGGGCGUAAAGCGUCUGUAGGUGGUUUAAUAAGUCAACUGUUAAAUCUUAAAGCUUAACUUUGAAAUCGCAGUCGAAACUAUUAGACUAGAGUAUAGUAGGGGUAAAGGGAAUUUCCAGUGGAGCGGUGAAAUGCGUAGAGAUUGGAAAGAACACCGAUGGCGAAGGCACUUUACUGGGCUAUUACUAACACUCAGAGACGAAAGCUAGGGUAGCAAAUGGGAUUAGAUACCCCCGUAGUCC